rnacentral:rRNA from 1 species
GAUGAACGCUGGCGGCGUGCUUAACACAUGCAAGUCGAACGGGAAACCUUUUAUUGAAGCUUCGGCAGAUUUAGCUGGCUUCUAGUGGCGGACGGGGGAGUAACGCGUGGGUAACCUGCCUUAUACAGGGGGAUAACAACCAGAAAUGGUUGCUAAUACCGCAUAAGCGCACAGGACCGCAUGGUCCGGUGUGAAAAACUCCGGUGGUAUAAGAUGGACCCGGGUUGGAUUAGCUAGUUGGCAGGGUAACGGCCUACCAAGGCGACGAUCCAUAGCCGGCCUGAGAGGGUGAACGGUCACAUUGGGACUGAGACACGGCCCAGAAGCGUAGGGGAGGCAGCAGUGGGGAAUAGUGCACAAUGGGGGAAACCCUGAUGCAGCGGCGCCGCGUGAAGGAAGAAGUAUCUCGGUAUGUAAUCUUCUAUCAGCAGGGAAGAUAGUGACGGUAGCUGACAAAGAAGCGCCGGCUAACUACGUG